UGGGUUUAAAGGAGCUUAGUUGGAUGUUAAGUCAGUGGGAAAGUUUGCGGCUCAACCGUAAAUUGCAGUUGAAACUGGCAUUCUUGAGAACAGUAGAGGUGGGCGGAAUUCGUGGUGUACCGGUGAAAUGCUUAGAUAUCACGAAGAACUCCGAUUGCGAAGACAGCUCACUAGACUGUUACUGACACUGAUGCUCGAAAGUGUGGGUAUCAAACAGGAUUAGAUACCCUGGUAGUCCACACAGUAAACGAUGAAUACUCGCUGUUUGCGAUAUACAGUAAGCGGCCAAGCGAAAGCAUUAAGUAUUCCACCUGGGGAGUACGCCGGCAACGGUGAAACUCAAAGGAAUUGACGGGGGCCCGCACAAGCGGAGGAACAUGUGGUUUAAUUCGAUGAUACGCGAGGAACCUUACCCGGGCUUAAAUUGCAACAGAAUAUAUUGGAAACAGUAUAGCCGUAAGGCUGUUGUGAAGGUGCUGCAUGGUUGUCGUCAGCUCGUGCCGUGAGGUGUCGGCUUAAGUGCCAUAACGAGCGCAACCCUUAUCUUUAGUUACUAACAGGUCAUGCUGAGGACUCUAGAGAGACUGCCGUCGUAAGAUGUGAGGAAGGUGGGGAUGACGUCAAAUCAGCACGGCCCUUACGUCCGGGGCUACACACGUGUUACAAUGGGGGGUACAGAAGGCGGCUACCUGGUGACAGGAUGCUAAUCCCAAAAACCUCUCUCAGUUCGGAUCGAAGUCUGCAACCCGACUUCGUGAAGCUGGAUUCGCUAGUAAUCGCGCAUCAGCCAUGGCGCGGUGAAUACGUUCCCGGGCCUUGUACACACCGCCCGUCAAGCCAUGAAAGCCGGGGGUACCUGAAGUACGUAACCGCAAGGAGCGUCCUAGGGUAAAACUGGUAAUUGGGGCUAAGUCGUAACAAGGUAGCCGUACCGGAAGGUGCGGCUG
rnacentral:rRNA from 1 species